rnacentral:lncRNA from 1 species
GUAUAUAACAUGGGUAAGUAACAAAGAGUUGCUGUCUAACACAGGGAAUGCUAUUCGAUAUUCUGUAACCAUCAGCAUGGGAAAAGAACCUGAAAAAGAAUGGAUAUGCGUGUAUGUAAAAUAGUUUCACUUGGCCGUACACCUGAAAUUAACACAACAUUAUAAGUCAACUAUACUCCAAUAUUUUUUUAAAAAAAGAACAAAUAUCCAAGCAAAAAGAGGAUGCAAUUUGAAUUUGAAUUUGAAUCACUCUAAACAUAUUAAUACAGUAUUUCUGCUAGUUAAAACCAAACCAAAAAAUAAAUAAAUAAAUAAAUAAACCUUUAGCCUCCUAGGCCUUCCCUGAGUUUCAGAACAAAUUUAAUCAGAGAAGUGAGAAAAUUCAGAAAUAAAGGAAAACCGUCAAGCAAGACAAACUAAGAAGAGUUUAGCCAUUCGACAAAGUCAAGGACCUCAAGAACCUUAAGUUCCUCCUCAAGGACUACAGGUGUGAUGACCGUUUUUAACUCCACGGCGAUUUUGAAGACCAGGAACGUUCAUGGGAAACAUGUUCCAUUGGAUGUGAGCAUCUCCUCUGAGUUUCCUUGUGGUGUCUGCCUCCCAAAGCCUUCUUCCUCCCUCCUCCAUACCUGAUCAAGCACAGGUGAAGGAGUGAAGUCAUUGCUCUAGACCUGCCACCCGAGAGACAGGAUGCGGACACAUCACCAAAGAACAAGGUCCUUCCAGAGUGGCCCGACUUUGGUGCUGUUGACAACUGAGGCUGGAUCCUUUAGGGUGGGGGCUGAUCAGGAGGAUGGGCAACUCCAGCGGAAGACUUAAGAGAGACAGAAGAAAUGCCUUCUCCACGGGCAGAUGGAGUGAGCAGUGUAGAAUCCAUCACCACAGUUCAAGGCAUCUCAGAGACUCAUUUCUGAAGCCAGGGCAGAAGAAUCGUGCUGCAUCUCUACAGAAACGAACUGGGACUGGUGGAUCAACAGUUAUUACAGAAGUUGAAAGAAGGAAGGAAAGAAGAAAACAUGAGUAGCAGAUGAAGAGAAACCCAUCAUGUUAUGUCUUUUUGCUUCUCGCUGCACCCUCACUCCAGGGAGACUCAGUGCAUGAGGUAAGUCUUAUUCACACUUGGCAUGACCGAGGGGGCAGGCAAUAUGUGGGAAAGACCUGGACUUUUGCAGAAGCUCUGCCCUUUACUCGUUAUGUGAUUGGAACGACGCCUGGGUCGCUUUUUGUCUCAGUGGUGCAGCAGUAAACAGAGGGAAAUAAUCUCUCUCCUAGUGGAUGUGCAGAUUCAAGGGGAUGUGGUCAUGGUGCUGAGAAGAGUGUGUGCCUUUUCAUUAUUGCCAACUAAUCACUUCGUGCACUUAUAUUUUAAAAGGGGCAAUUCAUUGAAUUUGAAUAAUAUCCAUUCCCUGUGCCGUUUUUCUUUUUUAUGGCAGUGUAGUUGAUUUAGAUUAUACUUCAAUCAAAAAGAAAGGAAAAAAAAGGAACAGGCAACGGAUUAAGAAAAUUGUGUUGUUUUAGCUGUACGUAAAGUGAUUCAGGUUAUUACAACAUAUUGAACGCGGGCUGUAGAUUAAGUCCUUAUUGUACAUUUGUUUUAUACGUGGUAGUGCGUAUCUGUUAAUCCCAAACUCCUAAUGAUUCCCUCUCCCACAUCCCUUUUCCCUUUGGUACCCAAGAGUUUGCUUUCUCCACCUGUGAGUCUAUUUCUGUUUUCUUAAAGAAGUUCAUUGGUGUUAUUUCUUAAACUCCACAUGUAAGUGAUAGCAUAUAAUGUGUAUCUAUCUGACUUACUUCCCUCAGCAUGAUAAUCUCUACAUCUGCCCAUAUUGCUGCAAAUGCCAUUAUUGAGCUCUUUUUUAUGGCUGAGUAAUAUUCCACUGCGUAUCUCUGCCUUAUCUUCUUUAUCCAUUUAUCUCUCAAUGGACAUUUAGGUUGUUUCCAUGUCUUGGCUAUUUUAAAUUGUGCUGCUAUGAACAUUUGGGGGGGCAUGUAUCUUUUUGGAUUAUAGUUUUGUCUAGAUAGAUGCCCAGGAGUGGGAUUGUUGGAUCAUAUAGCAACUCUCUUUUUAGUUUUUUCAGGAACCUCCAUACUGUUUUCCAUAAGGGCUACAGCUACACCUGUUUAAAUUCCCACCAACAGUGUUGUUGGGUUCCCUUUUCUCCAUGCCCUCUCUAGCAUUUGUUAUUUGUAGACUUUUUGAUGCUGGCCAUUCUUAUUGGGCUGAUGUGAUAUUUCAUUGAGUUUUGAUUUGCAUUUCUCUGAUGAUUAGUGCUGAUGAACAUCUUUUCAUGCGCCUGUUGGCCAUCUGUACAUCUUCUUUGAAGAAAUGGCUAUUUAUGUCUUCUGCCCAUUUAUUGUUAUUAUUGUUGUUAUUAUUGGGUUGUUUGUUUUUUUUUGUUAUUGAGUUAUAUGAGCUGUUUGCAUAUUUUGGCAGUGAAUCUCUUGGUGGUUGCAUUGUUUGUAAAUAUUUUCUUCCAAACCAUAGAUUUUUCUUUCAGUUUGUCAAUGGUUUCUUUUGCUAUACAAAAACAUGUAACGUUAAUUAGGUCCCAUUUGUUUAUUUUUGCUCUUAUUUCUUUCAUGCACAUGUUCUCUUUGGACAAGGCAAUGCUUAUUUCUAAGUAGAACUACCUUUGUUUUAAACUCAUAUUUCUGGCAAUCCCGUCAGACAAAGUAAGGAGAGAGUAAAGUGUUGAAAAGUCCAAUAGAGGUUUUUUUUUUGUUGUUUCUUGAAAUGAACUCAUUUCAUGAAAUAAUUAUUUUCUAUUUGUAGUCUUGAUCUCCCACCUUUUCUCCCAGUAGUUUUUGAGAAAGUUCCAGUUUUGUCUCUGCAACAUGAAUAUUUCAAAGUAUAUAUAAUUAAUGUUUUAAUUAUGUACUUAGAUGUGGAACUAUUUGGAUUUCUCUCAAAAAUAUUGUUCAUUUUGCUUUGUUGCCUCUGCUGACUCCAAAUGGUGACAUCCUCUAAGAUUAAGAUUGUACGUAUUUUCAAACUGAACUUAUAUUAGUUACAAUUCAAUUCGUCUAAUAUUUGAGCAAUUCCUGUGUGCAAAGUUCUGUGUUGGAGGACAAGGAGAGGAAACCCUUGUGUGGUUUCUGCACCUGAUGGGUUGAUAUGCAGGAGUGAUGGCCUAUAUAUAUGAUGAGUUAAAACCAAUUAUGAAAAUAGACAUCUUCCACUAAAUAGAUUAAAGGAAAAAGCAAGUGAUGAAUUAAACCUUGGAGGCUGUGAGUAAAACUUCUUAGAGAUGUGGGCAUUUUAUCAGAAGUAUAGAGGCACAUGAAGAUUUUAUUAGAAAAUGUGGGAGUUCCUGUUAUGACUCAUCGAGUCAUGAAUCUGACCAUGAGGAUGCGGGUUUGAUCCCUGGCUUUAUUCAUUGGGUUAAGGAUCCAGUAUUGCUGUGAGCUGCAAUGUAGUUUGCAGACAUGGCUCAGAUCUGGCAUGUUGUGGCUGUGGCAGGGGCUGUGGCUGGCAGCUGUAGCUCUGAUUCCGCCCUUAGCCUGGGAACUUCCAUAUGACACAAGUAUAGCCCUAAACAGAAAAAAAAAAAAAAA